CAUGGUUGCAAUUUUGACUUUCUUUGUUCUGGAAAGCGUUCCUUUCUCAAGAGUACCCAAACCCAAUUACCUGGUUCAAAUGUAACACUCUUCCGGCCCUUAUUUGCUUGUUAUACAUAGUGCUUAUUUUUCUUUUCAAUGUAGCCUUACCUUUUCGUGGAGAGAUUUCACCAAUUCUACCUUUUUCUUCCUAUCUAAACUACAACAUUCAUCUACAGGUAAAGAAAUUAAAUCCACUAGUGUUAGUGUAUUAAAUUUAUAAACAACUUCAAAUGGUGAACAUGAAGUAGUAGAAUGUGUGGCCCUGUUAUAGACAAACUCAAUGAAAAGUAAACAUUCUUCCCAAUUUUUCAAGUUUUUGUUAACCAAGUAUGAAACAAUUAGAUCGUAGUUCUAUUAACUACUUCGGUUUGUCAAUCGUUUUGUGGGUGACAUUUAGUAGAAAACAACAAUUUCGUGCCCAACGUAUUCCACAAAACCCACCAAAAAUAACUAAGAAAUUCAACAUCCCUACCUGACAUGAUACUCCUAGGAAUCCUAUGUAAACGCAAUACUUCUUCAAAGAAUAGAUCCAUAAUGUUUUAGCAUCAUCAAUUUGGCAUGGAAUGAAGUGUACCAUUUUGCUAAAUCUAUCUACCACCACAAAUAUCGAAUCUCAUCAUUUCUCAGUCCUAGGUAAACCCAAAACAAAGUCCAUAGAAAUGUCAACCCAAGGUUCGCUAGAAACGGGUAAAUGUGUGUACAAUCCUUAAGGCAAAACAUUAGACUUAGUCUUUUUACAAGUCAUGCGUCUACGACAAACCUAUUCUACCUCAAUUUUCAUUUUAGGCAAAUAAAAAUAUUUCCCUAACAUUUCCAAAGUCUUCUUAACCCCCAAAGUUACCCAUUAGACCCACACUGAGUGC
rnacentral:lncRNA from 1 species